AUUGUUUCGAACGGCAGCUUUCUUCUUUUUUGCGAGAAAGUUGGCGGAUCGGUAGUGAGGGUCUUUUUUGCCAGUUACCAUGGCUCCCUCGAAAUGCAUUAGCGCAUCCAUUUAAGAGGCAAAAAGGCGGACGAAAGCUCUGGCUUUUUUCGCCCUCCUUCUUCCUCCUGCCGGGUUUUGAUAAUAUCAGGACUUCGGAGGCAAGGAAGAGAGGUAUUUUUUGCUGGUUGGAGUGCUUCUGAAACCCGCCCAUGCCCGCACACGCCGGGAAGGGGAGUGAUGUAAUCAAAACAUCCAAUUC
rnacentral:misc_RNA from 1 species